CUGGCGGCGUGCCUAACACAUGCAAGUCGAACGAGAAAGCGGGGGCAACUCCGCAAGUAAAGUGGCGACCGGGUGAGUAACACGUGACUAACCUGCCCUCGAGCGGGGGAUAACCCCGGGAAACCGGGGCUAAUACCGCAUAACGUCCUCGAUACGAAAGUAUUGAGGAUCAAAGGAGCAAUCCACUUGAGGAGGGGGUCGCGGCCGAUUAGCUAGUUGGCGGGGUAAUGGCCCACCAAGGCUGAGAUCGGUAGCCGGCCUGAGAGGGCGCACGGCCACACUGGAACUGAAACACGGUCCAGACUCCUACGGGAGGCAGCAGUGGGGAAUUUUGCGCAAUGGGGGGAACCCUGACGCAGCAACGCCGCGUGGAGGAUGAAGUCCCUUGGGACGUAAACUCCUUUCGACCGGGAAGAUAAUGACGGUACCGGAAGAAGAAGCACCGGCUAACUCUGUGCCAGCAGCCGCGGUAAUACAGAGGGUGCGAGCGUU
rnacentral:rRNA from 1 species